rnacentral:lncRNA from 1 species
GAAUUGUCAAAGAUAAUAGUUAUAUUAAACAGCUCAAACAAACUACACUAUAUAUAAAGGGUCGGUAUGGUCCAGAAAGAUUAAAAAAAAAGAAAAAAAGGACUACUGGAUUGGUUCUGCUGGCAAGUAUAAAGUAUACUGGGGAUUAUGAAUAGUGAAUUGACGUUGUUCCAGCCAGCGGCGGAUAGUCAUUCUAUAUCUCUUAUUCAUGUUCCCAACUUGAACAGUGUUCAGAGCACCACGAUUAUUUUCUAACUCAUGCCAAACGCCUAUAAAUGCCCUAGCCUUGGCGAUGGAAGAUAGGACUAGAGCUGCAUUUUGUCGGACCUGUUGAAUGGCCUGAUUGACAUUUUCUCAAGGUUGCUCGAAGGCAUGACGAUGAUCAUCUUCAACUUGUCUGAAGACAAUAAUAAAAAAGAAAAAGAAAACCAUAUAUAAGAGCUGGAAAAAAAAAGAAUUUUGAGAAAAUAAUGUAAUUCUCACAUAAGUUGCUUAUCAUUCUAGGCUUUCGACCACGCAGCCUGAUGCAUGUUCAAGAGUUCAAAGUUCCACUGCAAAUUGGCAGCUGCAUUCAUUUUGAUCUGAAGAGGGGGAGAAGAGAGACUUUUGAACGAAGGAGGGUGAUGAAAGGGGUAUAUGUGCUUCUUAUAUACGCUGGUGGUGGGGUUCUUGCCCAGUCUCAAUCCAUUUGCUAUUAAGUGGUCCCCUUACGCAUGGG